AAAAGCCGCCAGGGGUGCUUUUCGCUGAGAGCCCGCGCUUUUCGAGCGGGCAACCCGUCGAACCUGAUCCGGAUAAUACCGGCGCAGGGAGCGUGGUGCUCUUCGAAC
rnacentral:ncRNA from 2 species